UUCUUAUAGAUUUAAUUAUAAGUACAGCCUGCUCCAUGUUAAAUUAAUAGCCGCAGAAAAUUUACUGUGCUAAGGUAGCAUAAUCAUUAGCCUUUUAAUUAAAGACUAGAAUGAAAGGCUUCACAUUUCAAUUUCUUUUUUUAAACCCAUACUAGAAUUUAUGCUAAACAUUAAAACACGUUUAUUUAUUAGAUAGACGACAAGACCCUAUUAAACUUUACUUUAGUUAAGCUGGGGCAGCUAAUUAAUUAUUAUUUUAAUUUCAUAAUUAUAAUAAAUUAACCCAAUAAAAUUGAAAACAACAAGUUACUAUAGGGAUAACAGCGCUAUUUUGUUUUUAAGCUCUUAUUUAAAAUAAAGAUUACGACCUCGAUGUUGAAUAAUUUAACUUAAUUAUGCACCCAUAAUUUAAGUAAGUCUGUUCGACUUAUAAAAAAUUACA
rnacentral:rRNA from 1 species